rnacentral:rRNA from 1 species
CCCCUAGUACGAGAGGACCGGGGCGGACGGGCCUCUGGUGUCCCGGUUGUCGACCAACGGCACGGCCGGCUAGCCACGCCCGGAACGGAUAACCGCUGAAGGCAUCUAAGCGGGAAGCCGUCUCCGAGAUGAGUUCUCCCUUCGGUAAGCCCCCAUGUAGAACACGUGGUCGAUAGGCCGCAGCUGCAAGCGCCGCGAGGCGUUCAGGCGAGCGGUACUAAUAGGGCGAGCCCUUGCACCCAUCC